AGGGCUUUGAAGUGGAAAGGGAGUGGGUGGUGGGGGGGUGUGUGGCUUUAGGGUCUCUGGCUUAGGAAGCUGAGUCUCCGUAGUGCCAUUCAUACAGAUGGAAUGAGGGAAGAAGCAGUUUCAUGGGAAAGUAGUAAAUUUGAUUGAGUAACAAGAGCUUGGGGGAUCCAGAAGAGAGCUAGGUUUGCAGUUCAGGAGUCCAGGAGAGAGUCAGACUGAAAACAUAAGCCCAUGGAUAGUCAGUCAUUGAAGCCAUGGGAAUGAAGAUCACCUAUGGGAAACACAGAUAGAAGCGAAUGUUACCACAAUGAAGUGUGGUCUAUACAAUUAAUUGCUGCAAAGAGGUCAGGGCACCACAAUCAAUCAUUCAUCAAAAAUAACAGGCAGCAAAGGACUGAGAAUAGAGUGAUCUGUGAUAUCUUCCCACUAAUCCCAAGUCAGGAGAGAGAGAGAAUGAAGAUCCAUUGCUGUAGAGGAACAAACUGAACGUGUUGAAGGUCCCGCAAGGCCAAUGUGGCUGGAAUGCAGACACAAAGCCAGGAGGAACAAGAGAUGGGGCUGACAAGAGAGGCAGGAGUCAGAUCUCAUGGGAACUGUCACCUGCAGUGUUGCAGACCUCUUUGAAUACACCAUGAGCACUGUGGAUUCUCGCCUCUGGAGAAUAAAAAUCACAUACAGAAAAGUUCAGACAACUUUAAGGAGUUUGAAGAAUCCCUGCUAGUCGUGGACCCAUCUGGGGUUGGUGGAUUCCUCACCAUGACUCUUUGGAUUCAGAAGUCAUAUAAGAUGCAGUUUAACAAAUAUUGGAAGUCAAAUGAGCAUUCUGCGGAAAAACAGCUUCUUCCAUACAUCAUCUUCUGGAAUAUCCCAGAUCUGGAAGAGGUCACAGGAAUGUCCAUUCAUAGGGAGCUCUACCUGGAGCUCAGAGAUGAUUGAGAGAGGGUAUUCAUCAUGGAUGUGUCCAAGUGAAGGUAGUUUGGAAAGAAACAAAGUUACCCUUUUUUCUCACUAAACAUCUUAGGGUCCCCAUUAGCAGGAAGGAAGGAAGAGGACAGGUGAGCUCCCUGGUAUUGAUGUAUUUACAGAGAACCUAGGCAUCAGCCAUACAUACAGAGGACACUCAUUUGGCCAGAAUUUGGGCUUUGACUUUAAUUAAAUUCCCUUGCUCCCAAUAAGACCUCUCUUAAUCUGAAAACAAUUUGUCAUAAGUGAUGUACCUGCCAAGACCUCAUGGCAAAGAGGCAGGGGGUACCUAGUAAAUGUUGCUGACAAACUCCAGCAUGACUCUAAAGGGACAGUGGCUUCCUUUGGAUGGUCAUGUGCUGCUGCUGGACAUAGCAAUCAGAAGGACAGUGGUGAACACCCAGGAGUGAACCAAGAUGCAAAGUUCAAGUCCGAGGGAAGAAGGGUGCAGUGCGGAAGAAGGGAAGGCAGAUGCUGCAGCCCUGCCUACAAGCAAGGAGGGAGCCAUUAAGAGCCCCAAGCUGGCCAGGCGCAGUGGCUUGCGCCUGUAUUCCUAAUCCCGGCACUUUGGGAAGCCAAGGUGGACGGAUCACCUGAGGUCAGGAGUUUGAGACCAGCUUGACCAACAUGGAGAAACUCUGUCUCUACUAAAAAUACAAAAUUAGCCAGGAGGCUGAGGCAGAAGAAUUGCUAGAAUCCGGGAGGUAGAGGUUGCAGUGAGCCGAGAUCGUGCCAUUGCACUCUAGCCUGGGCAACAAGAGCGAAACUCCAUCUCAAAAAAACAAAAAAGCCCCAAGCCUACUUUAUCAGACAGAGGAAUCAAGUUGUAUUUCCUUCUCACCAAGAGACGCUGGAAAGCUGUAAUCUUACACCAGUGGAGAAAGUGAGAGGAAAAUAAACCCUUUCUAAGGAUGAAUCCUGAAAGCCUUUCACAGACAAUGCUGCUUCUAUAAGAAUGACCUGUGAUGGCUAAGCCAUCACAGUCUUCAUUCCAAUUGACAUUCUAGGUAAACCUGCGCACAACUUUUUCUGUGUAUUUUCCAAAAAAGGAUCAUUUUAUAAAGGCUCAAGUUAUUUAC
rnacentral:lncRNA from 10 species